rnacentral:rRNA from 1 species
ACUUUACAAUGCGGGAAACCGUGAUAAGGGGACACCGAGUGCUAGCAUCAUAUGCUGGCUGUCCAGGUGUGUAAAAUACACCUGUUAGCAAGGGCCGGGCAAGGCCGGUGCCAGCCGCCGCGGUAACACCGGCGGCCCGAGUGGUGAUCGUGAUUAUUGGGUCUAAAGGGUCCGUAGCCGGUUUGGUCAGUCCUCCGGGAAAUCUGAUAGCUCAACUAUUAGGCUUUCGGGGGAUACUGCCAGACUUGGAACCGGGAGAGGUAAGAGGUACUACAGGGGUAGGAGUGAAAUCUUGUAAUCCCUGUGGGACCACCUGUGGCGAAGGCGUCUUACCAGAACGGGUUCGACGGUGAGGGACGAAAGCUGGGGGCACGAACCGG